GAUUGCAGAAGGAGCGUUCUGCCUCUUUGCGUCUGGGGAGGUGACUGUGUGGCGAGGCAUGGCACCGGGAUUUGGGCAGUGGGAAAUCCCCGAUGGAAACCCCCACCCCUCCCGGAUACAGUUGCCGGUGAAACUGCAACAAUGUUGCACAGUUCUAUCUUAGAACGUGGGGCGUAAAGAUACCGCACACUUGUGAGGGUAUCUUAGAAAGAAGCGGGAUGGUGUCCUUUCAGAGGGGGGGAAAAAAAAGGAUAGGGCUGUACAUGUUAAAUAUAUUGGGUAUGUGGCUGUGUUCAGAGAGUUGAUCAGUUCUGUCUGAGGACAGAGAGACGUAGUCUGGCCACGUUGCUGGGUUUCUGGUUUGGGGUAAUGGGCUUUACUAGGCCCCAGGAAUGCUGUAUAAGCCAUGUGGCUAUCGUUUGAGAGAGACUAAGUUGGCAGCAAAAAAUUGAAUGUUCCGGAAGGCAGUUUUCUCUGUGGGGCUGAAUUGAUCGUGAAUUGAGAUUUGGUGAUGCUCAUUAAUUGUGUGUCUUCAACCCAAACAUCUGGAACUGUUCUCAAACGGAAGUGGACAUUUCAUCACGUGCGUGGGUUUCUUCAUGGAGUGGGUUUUAAAAACUAACUUCUAGUCAGAAUUUUCAGUCCUGGCAUCUGCAUUUUGGUUGUUGCAAUCUCCAGUGAAUGGAAGGUGCUUGUAUUAUGCCAUUGGUCUGUUCUCUACAAACUGGGAUGAGCCCUCUUCUUCCAAGUCUCUCGCCGAGGUAAUCACUGUCCUUUUUUAAUUGGUCUGGUUCACAAUUGCAAUUCUGUCUCAAUAAAAGUAACUCUUUUAAAAAUUUA